GGUCAAGCUAAUUAGGGCUAAUGGUGGAUACCAAGGCACACAGAG
rnacentral:rRNA from 1 species